rnacentral:rRNA from 1 species
UACGAAGGGGGCUAGCGUUGUUCGGAAUCACUGGGCGAAAAGCGCACGUAGGCGGAUUGUUAAGUCAGGGGUGAAAUCCCGAGGCUCAACCUCGGAACUGCCUUUGAUACUGGCGAUCUAGAGUCCGGGAGAGGUGAGUGGAACUGCGAGUGUAGAGGUGAAAUUCGUAGAUAUUCGCAAGAACACCAGUGGCGAAGGCGGCUCACUGGCCCGGAACUGACGCUGAGGUGCGAAAGCGUUGGGAGCAAACAGG